AUUUUGGUUCCUAUGUCUUUGACAGAUGUAUUGGCUUCAAGUUAUUUUGCAGAUUCUGUGGUCCUGAUCCCACAGGUGUUUUGAGGCAGGUGGAACCUCCUGGCUCCAGGCAGGUUUUCUGUGUAUGGAAGCACGUGCUUUUUGAUUUAAAUAUCCUUCCUUGCAGGCAGGUAUGUUGAAAUCAGCAGGGCUCUGCACAGCCCCAUGUCUUUUCCUGGGCACAAAGAACUGGAGACUCAGAGCUGCUUGUCAGGAUUUUUUUUAAAUUUUCACUGCAGUUGCGAGUUCCUUGUCCUCUCUGUGUGGUCUAGUGCAAUGCAGUAGGGUGAGGUAACCUUGGUGAAGGACAAACACCCAUCCAGUCUCUCUCUCACUCCACUUCCUCAGCAGGGCAGCAAGAAAAAAAAAAAAAUUAGGAUGAGAAAGCUGAUGGGUCAAGCUAAAGACAGGGAGACCACUUAGGAGUUAGUAUUGCAAGGAAAAGAAACUUUAACAGAUGCAUUACUAGGAUUACUAUUUAUUUCUAAUUUAAAUAGAUUUGUUAAAAAAUAAAAUAAAGAUAAAUAUUACUACAACACCUGUCCUUCCGUAUUUCCCAAGGUCAUCUUUGUUUCUUUAUUUCUCUACCUCCUGCACAAGGAGGUAUAUCAGGUCCUGAAAAUUUUCCUUUGAGAAUUAUUCCCAAGAAGAGCCCUGCUUUUUCUGAAGUAAAUCACAGAACACCCUCAGUAUCCUCUUGCAAAUUUUCCACUCUUCCAUGUCUUCUGGAUAUUCAAGAAUGACAAAUCUGCAGGAAAAGAAGAAAGAGAAAUUAAAAGGAUUUUUUUAAAAGGAGAGGCUUUAAAAACUGGACCCACUGACUUCAAUGGGAUUGCAGUGCUGUGCUGGUUUGGGAUUUAAAUCACAAUCUCCCUGAAAGCAAAGGGAAUAUAUUGAUUUAACCAACUGAAGAUCUGGCCUCACAUGCACACAACUGAAUGCCAGUGGGAUGAUAAGGUUACUUCUGUGGGAGAUUAAAGGUGCCAGUUACACAGCAGUGGUAAGAGGUACUGAAACACAAACAGGCCACACAGAAAGACUCUGAUUUCCCAGAGAAAAACCUCUUAUUUUCUAAGAUUAUAACAACUGCAAAGGAGGAUUUUGGAGUGCUUAUAUUCAUGGGGUUUUCUUUUU